CCUUGAUAUGUUCUUUUCUCCUUUUCAGCUCUUCCCCAGCACCCUUGGCUCUAGACACACUGACCUGCUCUCUGCUCCUGUGUGUGAUUGACUCUUUAAACUGCAAAGCCUUUGCAUUUGCAUCUGCCUGGAAAUUCUUCCACGAUUCAGAUUAAGCUCAGAGGCCCUCUCUGACACUUCAGGCAGAUUUCUCUUGAGUUUUUCUUGCUAUCGUUCCUGGCAAAGUGCAGCUUCAGAAUUUAUUUUCUUGUCUGCCUCCUAAGAUAGUGAGCUCAAAGACCAGGGUCAACCAUAAUGUGAUGGUAGAAUGCCACAUCCAAUGAGCUCUGCUCUCUGAAUACCUUUAGUGAAGUCCAAGUUAACUCAGAUAUGCAGCAGUGGCCAAAGGUAUAGCAACAUCCUUCAGUGCUCAGCCUCUGCAGUACAAUGUAUGCAAGGAUAGUGGGCCUUUCAGCAGCAGUAGAGAUGCUGAUGGAGCAACCUCCUGUGGUCUUUGAACAUUAUUCCUAGAUGCAUAGACUCCAAUUCUGUGGCUGUCUAGGAGAUUUUGUGAAUAAAAUUAUUUAUUUAUUUAUUCAUUCAUUCUCCUGAUGGUGGGGAUUGAACCCAGGGUCUUGUGCAUGUGAGGCAAGCACUUUACCAAUUGAGCUAUAUCCCCAGCCCCAAAUUAUUCUUUAUAUUAUUAUUAUUUACUAAACCAAUUAGACUGGCUUUUAUAGUCUGUGAUUGGAGGAGUUCUGAGUCAGAUCUCUAACCUGGGAAAACCCUGAAGUCAGGUCAUUCCAGUACUGCUAUACCUGAUAUCUGCCACAUGGAGCCACUUUGGAGAGCUGUCCUUUAGGACCUCACCUUAGUUAACUCUCCUUUGGAGCCCCCAGUACUAGGGGCUUAACCUUAACACUUUGACACCUCUCCUAUCCCUGUACAGACUCACCUGGUCUGUUGAGGGGCCAAGAUACCAAUGCUUUCC
rnacentral:lncRNA from 1 species